rnacentral:rRNA from 1 species
UGGGGAAUAUUGCACAAUGGGCGCAAGCCUGAUGCAGCCAUGCCGCGUGUAUGAAGAAGGCCUUCGGGUUGUAAAGUACUUUCAGCGGGGAGGAAGGCGAUAAGGUUAAUAACCUUGUCGAUUGACGUUACCCGCAGAAGAAGCACCGGCUAACUCCGUGCCAGCAGCCGCGGUAAUACGGAGGGCGCAAGCGUUAAUGGGAAUUACUGGGCGUAAAGCGCACGCAGGCGGUCUGUCAAGUCGGAUGUGAAAUCCCCGGGCUCAACCUGGGAACUGCAUUCGAAACUGGCAGGCUAGAGUCUUGUAGAGGGGGGUAGAAUUCCAGGUGUAGCGGUGAAAUGCGUAGAGAUCUGGAGGAAUACCGGUGGCGAAGGCGGCCCCCUGGACAAAGACUGACGCUCAGGUGCGAAAGCGUGGGGAGCAAACA